rnacentral:lncRNA from 1 species
CCUUGUCAUCUGCUGCUCCUGAGGAGGAAGAGGAGGAGGAGGAAGGGAUGAGGGAAAUGGUGUCUGACCUGCUGGGAGAGGACGCAGACUCAACCAUCUGCCGUCUCUAUCCUCACCCCUGGAUCAAGCUGGGCCUGGAAGAGAGUUGGGAGGGCUGGGCCCAGGGGGCAUCUGAAGCUGAGCCUGGACAGGGUCAGAGUGACAAAGACAGUGACACAGAGCAGAUCCCGGCCUCAGUCUCAGAGCUCCAACCAUCCAUGGCUCUGCUGGGAGCUUACCCCUACAGCACCGUGAUGCCUCAGGGACCCUGUGUGUGGGACUGGCACACUGAUUGCACUCAGCCUGGACCUGUUAGUCCAAUCCUUAACCCUAAUGCUGGGGUCUGGACCAAUCACAGUCCAGAUGUGAACAUCCCUGAUCCUCCCUACCUGCACCUUCAGCAGCCAUGGCUACAGGUCCCAGACAAUCUGACUAAUUUGGAAGGGUAUGUGCCAGAGUUUCAGCUGGAAAACAUGGGUUUGCCUAAUGGUGAUCCCAGCACAUUGGCAGCACUUACUGCUGAUAGCCCUUUACAGAAUGGAGAGUGCAGCAACCUUCCUGGGACAGGUAUGGAUCUAUUUUAG